GAUGAACGCUGGCGGCGUGCCUAAUACAUGCAAGUCGAGCGAAUGGAUUAAGAGCUUGCUCUUAUGAAGUUAGCGGCGGACGGGUGAGUAACACGUGGGUAACCUGCCCAUAAGACUGGGAUAACUCCGGGAAACCGGGGCUAAUACCGAAUAACAUUUUGAACCGCAUGGUUCGAAAUUGAAAGGCGGCUUCGGCUGUCACUUAUGGAUGGACCCGCGUCGCAUUAGCUAGUUGGUGAGGUAACGGCUCACCAAGGCAACGAUGCGUAGCCGAGCUGAGAGGGUGAUCGGCCACUGGGACUGGGACACGGCCCAGACUCCUACGGGAGGCAGCAGUAGGGAAUCUUCCGCAAUGGACGAAAGUCUGACGGAGCAACGCCGCGUGAGUGAUGAAGGCUUUCGGGUCGUAAAACUCUGUUGUUAGGGAAGAACAAGUGCUAGUUGAAUAAGCUGGCACCUUGACGGUACCUAACCAGAAAGCCACGGCUAACUACGUGCCAGCAGCCGCAGUAA
rnacentral:rRNA from 1 species